UCAUAUACUUGGACAGGGAAC
ensembl:piRNA 21ur-2911 ncRNA